CUCUUCUUGUACAUAAAUAUAUAUAUAUAAUAUGCAACCAUCAGAUAGAUACAGAUCAUAGAGUCCAUUUUCGGUUUCUAGUUUUUUCUCUCUAUACAUCCCUCCCUCCCUCCACCAUAUCCGAUUGAUUGCGCUUCUACUUUUAAUCGUCAAGCACAAUCUGCCGCCGGAGGACCAUGUCGGCCGACAACGGCAGUUACUCCCGUCGUCACGGAGGAGCAGGAUCGGAGAUUGUGCUAUUCGGAGUUCGAGUCAAGGUGGAUCCGAUGAGAAAGUGCGUCAGCUUAAAUGACUUGUCUCAGUAUGCUCAUCAUCAUCAUCAGCAGCAGCAGCAGCAGCAGCAGGACGUGCCUCCUCCAAACGCUGAUGCUCUUGUUGCUGCUGCGGGAUACGCCUCAGCCGAUGACGCCAAUCACCAACGGCCGGCGUCAGGAAGUCGCGAGAGGAAACGAGGUAGGUCGGAUCUCCGAUUCGAUUAUCUUAAUUGUUAAUAAUUAGUUAGGGCCUAGGAUUAUUCAAUUAAUCUCAUGCUUGAAUUUGGAUUCAAAUCAUUCAAUGAUUUUAGUAACCGCCGUAUGUUUGAUUAUAGGCUGUGAUUGAUUUGAUUUGAUAUGAUCUUAUUGGAUGAAAUGAAUGAAUGAAUGAAUUGUUAGUUGUCUGAAAUUGAUCAGGAAUUCCAUGGAGUGAAGAGGAACACAAGCUUUUCCUGCUAGGAUUACAGAACGCAGGAAAGGGAGACUGGCGAGGUAUUUCAAGGAACUUUGUCAAGACUAGGACGCCAACUCAAGUUGCUAGCCAUGCACAAAAACAUUUCCUCCGACGCAGCAGCAACCUCAAUAAGCGAAGAAGACGAUCCAGCCUUUUCGACAUAACUUCUGAAUCUGUUGCUGCUAUCUCAAUGGAAGAAGAAAAGCUAGGAGACAACACAAAUCAGUUCAUUCAACUUUCAAAGGAAACCCUUAGUACUGUUGUCGGAUCUCAAGUGUCCCCAAUUCCUGUUUCCCAGAUUGAGAAUGAUGAUGAUGAUGAUGUUAACAAUGAGUCUUCAAGAUCAGUUCUUGUCCAACCAAUCAUCCCCUUUAUUCAAACACCCAUUGCAUCUAACUCCAAUCUCAACUCAAUGUCAAUCCAUAAUCACCCACUAAUAUCUCUGGAUCUGUCACUCUCCUCAGGACAGAAUCAUUUAGCAAGGAAUAAUUCAUCAUUUCAGAUGGGACCUAACCUCAACAAUGGGAAAAGCAUAAUCACUGUUGCCUAAUCCAAAGGGUUGCAAUUAGGUAAUUAAUGUUAAAGUAAUUAUUAGUUUGACUAAAAAAUGAUCCUCUCCUCUCUUCUGUAUUGUACACACAAAAGCAAUGGGAUGCUAAGAUGCAUAAUUUGUUGUUUGUUUUUUGUUUAAAUUGUAUUAAAUAUCAAGAUUCCUGGUUU